rnacentral:lncRNA from 1 species
GGCAGAAGCAGAGAAAGGGCAAGAAGACACACCCAGCAGUUGCACUGAUGGCAACCUGGAAGCAGAUAGAAGACUCAGAGAGUUGUAGGAAAACAGGAGUCCAAGCAAGGAAGUUCAUCUCCAAAGGCCUAGGGCAGUGAGAACCUGAACCCAGAACCAAGCCAACAGGAAGACACAUUUUCUCUACUAUCAACACCUUCUGUCAAUGUCAGAAG